CCUACGGGAGGCAGCAGUAAGGAAUAUUGGACAAUGGGCGAAAGCCUGAUCCAGCCAUGCCGCGUGAGUGAUGAAGGCCUUAGGGUUGUAAAGCUCUUUUAGAUGGGAAGCUGUACCAUCAGAAUAAGCCCCGGCUAAAUUCGUGCCAGCAGCCGCGGUAAUACGAAUGGGGCAAGCGUUGUUCGGAAUCACUGGGCGUAAAGCGUGUGUAGGCGGUUUAACAAGUCAGGAGUGAAAUCCCAGGGCUCAACCCUGGAAUUGCUCUUGAAACUGUUAAGCUAGAGUACUGGAGAGGUUAGCAGAAUUCCGAGUGUAGAGGUGAAAUUCGCAGAUAUUCGGAGGAAUACCAGUGGCGCAAGCGGCUAACUGGACAGUACUGACGCUGAGACACGAAAGCGUGGGGAUCAAACAGGAUUAGAUACCCUUGUAGUC
rnacentral:rRNA from 1 species